AUGUCCAACAUUGUGUCAGUGUUUCUGUGCCCCAUCCUCCUUUGGGAAGCUCCUGCGCAGUUCUGAGUCUUGGUUGAGGUUGGCAGGCUCCACAGAGGGACCCAGCUGUGGGCUGCUGUGGGCACAGCCCUGUGAGAAGCAGGGGCUAAAAAGAACUGAAGAAGGGAGGGGCCUUUCGACUGACAUAACUGCUGGCUGUAAGGAGAGAAGAACCUGACUGGGAGACAGGAAGACAGGCAAAGAAAAAGAGACAAAGUGAACAAAGAUACCUGAGGCCAAUGAGAAGCUUAGUAACUGAAUCAGACAUUGGGCUGUCUAGUGGGUCAGCAUCAAGUUAAUCAGUUUUUGUGCUCUUCUGGGCUGUGACCUGUGCAAAUGCAGGACAUCACCUUUCCUCCCUUGGAAGCCAGAAUUGCAGCUCUUCUCUUGG